AUUGAACGCUGGCGGCAUGCCUUACACAUGCAAGUCGAACGGCAGCGGGCCUUCGGGUGCCGGCGAGUGGCGAACGGGUGAGUAAUGCAUCGGAACGUGCCAUUGAGUGGGGGAUAACGUAGCGAAAGUUGCGCUAAUACCGCAUAUUCUGUGAGCAGGAAAGCAGGGGACCGCAAGGCCUUGCGCUCUUUGAGCGGCCGAUGUCAGAUUAGCUAGUUGGUGAGGUAAAGGCUUACCAAGGCGACGAUCUGUAGCGGGUCUGAGAGGAUGAUCCGCCACACUGGAACUGAGACACGGUCCAGACCCCUACGGGAGGCAGCAGUGGGGAAUUUUGGACAAUGGGGGCAACCCUGAUCCAGCCAUGCCGCGUGAGUGAAGAAGG
rnacentral:rRNA from 1 species